UAAUACGGGGGGAACGAGCGUUGUUCGGAUUUACUGGGCGUAAAGGGCACGCAGGCGGGGAUGCAAGUCAGAUGUGAAAACCCGAAGCUUAACUCCGGGCCGGCAUUUGAUACUGCAUCUCUUGAGUACGGGAGAGGAUGAUAGAAUUCUUGGUGUAGCGGUGAAAUGCGUAGAUAUCAAGAGGAAUACCGGUGGCGAAGGCGGUCAUCUGGCCCGAUACUGACGCUCAGGUGCGAAGGCCGGGGGAGCAAACAGG
rnacentral:rRNA from 1 species